rnacentral:ncRNA from 1 species
UCUGGUGUCCGGCACUUGCCGGGAUAAUCGGGAACGCGGUGCAACUCCGCGACGUGCCCAACGCUGUAAGGUGGAUGGGGCGGCAGAUGCCACUGGUCGCGAGGCCGGGAAGGCGCCGUUCCGCGCGAAGCCGAAGUCAGAAGACCGGCCAGGCG